AGGCUAAAGUCCACGGGCUGUAGAAGCAAACCUUAAAGGGACAUCUGCCUUUCAUUGAGAGGGUGAUCUCGUUCUCCGGGCCAAAUCCCCUAAGGUGGUAGGAAGGCGGAUGAAAACGUCUAGUUGCAGGAAAACAGGCUCAGGGCUCCCACUGAUUCUACAUUAUGGGCUGGAAUCUGAGUAGCUGAGGUGCUUAUGUGACUACAUGCCUACAUCACUGACCCCCAAUAAACACCUUGGACACAAGACUCAGAUAAAGAAACCUCAGAUCAAAUAUAAGCAUCAAAAUCUACAAAGAUUUUAGAAGGUGAAGAAACACGGAAAGAUCUCUGGUGAUGGAGCCAGCAUUGAUGAACCAAGAAAAGUCUUACACAUGAAGAAGCCUGUGAUAAACAAGGUGACUCACCUCAUCAAAUGGAAUGGGGAUCUUCUGGCAAAUCUGCCUGGGUAAACCACAACUCACAAGGGAUAGAAUUUCACUAAAUUCUUAAGAGGUUACAGACUCUAUUUCUAUCCUUAAAUACACUCAUUAUUUUAUCCCUGGAUAUACCCAAUUAUAGUUUAAACUUAAAUUGAAUAAAAGAUGAUGGGAA
rnacentral:antisense_RNA from 1 species